rnacentral:lncRNA from 1 species
AAUUCCAAAGGUAUUCUACCCCCUUGAUUCCAGUCUCUCAAUAGAUAAACGAUGUUAAAAUAAAAGACUAAGCCGUUGAUGAGAACCAAGAAAAUUCCGACUAGAAUCAAGUAGAAGAUACAAACCCCACAGAAAUGGAUAAACAUGUGUGAAUGAUUAUGAAUGCAAAAUGAUGUGAAUGUAGUGCAGUGGCAUGGGAAUCAAGAUAGUUGUAUCUGCUUGAACAUCUCUCAGGUUGCACUGUCUGGAGAGAAAUUAAGAGCACCCCAAACAAAGGUCAUGGGAUGGAUCAUGUUAUCCUUAAUGUCGACCACCCAUUUUGGUGGAUUAUGGUUUACACCUUAUCAACACCCAAGUUUCAUUGAUAUUAAGGAUACCUGAUCGGAUCAACCAUGAAUCAAGGG